rnacentral:rRNA from 1 species
UACGGGGGGGGGCAAGCGUUGUUCGGAAUUACUGGGCGUAAAGGGUUUGUAGGUGGCUCGCUAAGUCAGACGUGAAAUCCCUCAGCUUAACUGGGGAACUGCGUCUGAAACUGAUGAGCUUGAGUGCAGGAGAGGAACGCGGAAUUCCAGGUGUAGCGGUGAAAUGCGUAGAUAUCUGGAGGAACACCGGUGGCGAAGGCGGC